UAAUCUUGUGUGCAGAAAGUACCCGUGCA
rnacentral:piRNA from 1 species